rnacentral:miRNA from 1 species
AAUGAGUCUACGGCCAUGCCACCCUGAACAAGCUCGAUCCCAUCUGAUCUCAGAAGCUAAGCAGGGUCGGGCCUGGAUAGUACUUGGAGGGG